AACGUAGGAGGCAAGCGUUAUCCGGAUUUACUGGGCGUAAAGGGCGUGCAGGUGGUUUAGUAAGUGGUGCGUGAAAGCGCUCGGCUCAACCGGGCGAGGCCGUGCCAAACUGCUGAACUAGAAACAGGUAGAGGAACAUGGAAUUCGGGGUGUAGUGGUGAAAUGCGUAGAGAUCCCGAGGAACUCCAGUGGCGAAGGCGAUGUUCUGGACCUGGUUUGACACUCAGACGCGAAAGCAUGGGGAGCGAACGGG
rnacentral:rRNA from 1 species